GUUUUAAUAGUUUAAUAAAAACAUUGGUUUUGUAAAUCAAAAAUAGGAUACUUCUUUUAAAACU
rnacentral:tRNA from 1 species